GUCCAUUGUACUGUGCAUGAGUCUGUUAUCAGAAGGCAAAAGGAUCUUUAAUAGAAGGCUGAAGAGUCCGUGCUGGAAACCAGGAGACAACGUCCAAGAUGAAGGUGAACACUGGAGCCCCUCUGAAGAAACAAAAAAAGUGAGAGUUUCUCAUGCACAGAAUGUGCAUUAGUGGUGAUGGAAUUUCUUCUAGGAGACAGAGAAACCCACAGUAAUGGAUUAAAAGAUCAGGAGACCCUGCUUUCUCUUCCUGUCUGUCUUACACUAUAAAUAAAGAGCGUGCUGGAUUCCAGGCAGUCAUUAGCUCAUCAGGCUGCGGUUCCACCUGGUCCCAGCUUUCAAGCAUCAAUUUUGAGUGCAAUUUUGAAGAAAAGAGGGAAGAUGGGAGAAGUGAAUAGUCAGCUAUAUUCAUGGUGUUGAAGAAAGAAUUUGGUUUGCUGGGAUACAGCCUGUGAUAACAGAACAAGGCCUGGAAAGAAACAGGUUAUGUCUGGCUGGAGAGUGAUUGGCAUUAACAAGGAAUAUUACCACAUAGUAGCAAAAAAAAAUAAUAAUACAAGGAAGAGCCAAUGAAGAUUAUGCAAUCUGAAAGAGAGGAAAAGAGACUGAACAAAACAAAGAGAUCAUCAGAGAACUGAGGGAAAGUUUCAAGAAGUAAAAUACGUUAAGAUCUGGCCAUGGAGUUCAAGCUGGCCUUGGACUGACUGUAUAAUCAUAGGCUGGCCUCCAACUCACAGCAAUCCUCCUGUCUCAGCCUCUCAAGCACUGGAUUACAGGAAUGUGCCACCAUGCUCAGCGAAUUUUCUGUUUUUAUCCAAGUUUUCAGUUUGAUUUAUUUUAUCUACCUCCUCAACAUUGCUUUCUAACUCUUUUUUCUCUUAUAUUAAGCUCUUUUCUUUCCCUCAUUGGUUCUUUUUUUCUUUUUUAAAUUAGCAUCACUGAUGUUUCCUGUAGAUUCAUUUUUUUUAAGUCUUUUAUUUGUUUUUCAUUCAGUUUGUUUUCUAUUCCUUGCAUGUUUUCUGUUUUUCCCAAAUUGUUGUUUUUAUUUUCUUCUCUUAUAUAACUUUUUUACAAUGUUUAAUGAGCUUUCAUUAUAUGCUUAGAUUUUAAAUGUAGGCCACUAAAAAAGCAUGCACAUGUUUGUACAACUUGGUAUGAAUAAAUAUGUUACUGUGGAAAAAA